rnacentral:rRNA from 1 species
UACGUAGGGUGCGAGCGUUAAUCGGAAUUACUGGGCGUAAAGCGUGCGCAGGCGGUUUUGUAAGCCAGAUGUGAAAUCCCCGGGCUUAACCUGGGAAUGGCAUUUGGGACUGCAAGGCUCGAGUGCGGCAGAGGAGACUGGAAUUCCUGGUGUAGCAGUGAAAUGCGUAGAAUAUCAGGAGGAACACCGAUGGCGAAGGCAGGUCUCUGGGCUGACACUGACGCUCAUGCACGAAAGCGUGGG